rnacentral:rRNA from 1 species
AUUGAACGCUGGCGGCAGGCCUAACACAUGCAAGUCGAACGAGUAGCGGACGGGUGAGUAAUGUCUGGGAAACUGCCUGAUGGAGGGGGCUAACUACUGGAAACGGUAGCUAAUACCGCAUACCAUCAGAUGUGCCCAGAUGGGUUUAGCUUGUUGGUGGGGUAACGGCGAACCAAGGCGACGCUCCCUAGCUGGUCUGAGAGGAUGACCAGCCACACUGGAACUGAGACACGGUCCAGACUCCUACGGGAGGCAGCAGUGGGGAAUAUUGCACAAUGGGCGAAAGCCUGAUGCAGCCAUGCCGCGUGUAUGAAGAAGGCCUUCGGGUUGUAAAGUACUUUCAGCGGGGAGGCGUUACCCGAAGAAGAAGCACCGGCUAACUCCGUGCCAGCAGCCGCGGUAAUUC